UAUAAAGGAGGAACAAAGAAUAUCUUCCUCAUCUAUCUCCUAGGAAUGUCCUGAAGAUAAAAUGAUAUGAAGUUGGAAAAAGCAUAAGCCCGGCUAUCAAAGACAAAAACCGGACAAGUAAGGACAUUCAUUUUAUUCAGCCUACUGCAAUAAAAGCAGACACCCGACGAGAUUAGAUUGCCUCAGGAGUUUGAGUUGGACUUUUACAGGGAAGAACACACAAGGUGCAGGCAGGCUGCACCCACCUGUAACCCCUAGGAGCAGUUGAUUUCACUCACCUGGAAGUCAGUCUCAGCAUCCAAAGAAUCAUCAGUCUGGCAUCGAAACGUAACUGAAAAACAAUCAACUAUCUUCCAAAGGACAAACAGCAUUAUUCGCAUGGUUAAAAGAAGCUAUUAUGGCAGCUUAAGGGGUGUGGGUUUCAGAUGGAGUGGGGAUGUGCUCCAGGCCUACCAUCAGCGUCACUGGGAAGGAUGGAGAAGAUGGGCAUCUGCCAAUAAUCCCCUAAUGGUGUGCUGAUCCCAAGCAGUAACCUACAUUGUCAGAGAGCUCUGCAAAGAGCUGAAUAUAAAGAUCCCAGGAGCCCUGAUUCGGAGAGCCAAGGACAUAAAAUUGGAAAUAAAUACACCAGCCAGAAGGUGAAAUGGGGUCCGCUCUGUUUCAUGGCCACUGUAAUUACUAAUAAAUAGGAUGCGAGUGCUGUUGGGGCCUGGCUUGCACGGAGCUCCGGAACACGUUUUCCUGUCUUCUGCAAAUCUGGGAAAGAGGGAACGACAAGGGCUCUAGUACCCAAUGUCCCAGUGAAGGGGAGUGGCUUGCCAAGGCCACACAGAGCAGAGCUGGAGCUUGGCUGCAGCCCCCCAGCCCCAACCCACCCUGAGGGACCUGCACACAGACUGCGCACGGAGCCUGCAGGCACUUUGAGAGUGGGAGCACGGCCCUGGCCCUAUCGCAGUGACCUGCCAGGCACCUCCCUGAGCCUCACUCAGUCAUCACCAGCACUUGACAAGGGGUUCUACUGCUAUCCCAUUUCGUAGAUGGGGAGACCAAGGCCUACAGAAGGGAAGUAACCAGGUGGUCCCAAUCCAUUGGGCCAUCCUGCUGGAAGACCAUGCAGAGAGGGCAAGCCCCUAAGGUGACACAGAGAGGCCCAGCCCUCCUGGUGUCCCAGCUGGGAUAUUCCUGCCAAGAUGCCAGACAUAAGCUCCAGGAGGGCAAGGUGUCUUCUAAGUCUUCAAGAGGGUCUUACACAUAAAUAAAUGCGAGGAACGUGAGUUGACUGGACACCAGCUUUCCUUCCUGGACUUGUGCUCAGAGAAAGCACCCUCCACCUUCAAACAUUUGCUUUUGGAACUUCCAAGCCUGGGCUCCUUUAUGGAUUAAAUGCUGACAUUUUCCAUUUGUGUAAAUGCUCACGACAAGACUGAAACCCUGCCUGCUCUCCCAUCAACCCAAUAGGACUAGGUAAGUGCUGGGGACUGGGGGCAGUCCCUGCAGCCCAGGCUGACAAGGGCAUGGAGGAAGCAUUAAGAAGUAGUAAAAAAAAAAAAAAAAAAGGAAUGA